UAGGGAAUUUUCCGCAAUGGGCGCAAGCCUGACGGAGCAACGCCGCGUGAGUGAAGACGGCCUUCGGGUUGUAAAGCUCUGUUCUUUGGGAAGAAAAAAAUGACGGUACCAAAGGAGAAAGCCCCGGCUAACUACGUGCCAGCAGCCGCGGUAAUACGUAGGGGGCAAGCGUUGUCCGGAAUUAUUGGGCGUAAAGAGCACGUAGGCGGUUAGAUAAGUUGGAUGUGAAAGGCUACGGCUCAACCGUAGAGCGGCAUCCAAAACUGUUUAACUUGAGUGCAGCAGAGGAGAGUGGAAUUCCCGGUGUAGCGGUGGAAUGCGUAGAGAUCGGGAGGAACACCAGUGGCGAAGGCGACUCUCUGGGCUGCAACUGACGCUGAGGUGCGAAAGCGUGGGGAGCGAACAGG
rnacentral:rRNA from 1 species